CAGUAGCCGCGGGAAUACAGAGGGUGCGAGCGUUAAUCGGAUUUACUGGGCGUAAAGCGUGCGUAGGCGGCUUUUUAAGUCGGAUGUGAAAUCCCUGAGCUUAACUUAGGAAUUGCAUUCGAUACUGGGAAGCUAGAGUAUGGGAGAGGAUGGUAGAAUUCCAGGUGUAGCGGUGAAAUGCGUAGAGAUCUGGAGGAAUACCGAUGGCGAAGGCAGCCAUCUGGCCUAAUACUGACGCUGAGGUACGAAAGCAUGGGGAGCAAACAGGAUUAGAGACCCCUGUAGUCCCUGUCUCUUAUAA
rnacentral:rRNA from 1 species